rnacentral:rRNA from 1 species
CAAUCGGUUAGUGGCGGACGGCUGAGUAACACGUAGGUAACCUACCCUUGAGUGGGGAAUAACUCCGCGAAAGCGGAGCUAAUACCGCAUACGACCGUAUGCCCUCGGGUGUACGAGGAAAGUCGCAAGGCGCUCGGGGAGGGGCCUGCGUCCGAUUAGCUAGUUGGUGAGGUAAUGGCCCACCAAGGCGACGAUCGGUAGCUGGUCUGAGAGGAUGAUCAGCCAGACUGGGACUGUGACACGGCCCAGACUCCUACGGGAGGCAGCAGUUAGGAAUCUUGGGCAAUGGGCGAAAGCCUGACCCAGCAACGCCGCGUGGGUGAUGAAGGCCUUCGGG